GGUUUUCCCACGGUCACAAUAUCAGUUGGUAAUUUGUAGUAGGAUCUUGCCUCACCCCUAUGGCCCUAUUAUCUGACGCUGUAACUCGCAAGUGUGCUCAUGAUCCUCCAAUGGAGAAAAUCAUUCAAGUAAAAGAAAAAUGAAACUAUCAUCUUCUUCAUCAUUUUCAAAUCCUCUUUACCGCAUAUCUUCUAAUCGGUUUAACGAUCUUUUGUUAGCUAAAACUAUCAUCUUCCCCAUUAUCUGACCACUUUCACUUUGCCUCGUU